rnacentral:lncRNA from 1 species
GACCCUCUCCCCAUGAGUUUACGGCCGUAAACUCAUGGUGGGGUGAGUUAUGGCACAAAAUGGCUUCAAACACUAAGGGAAUAAUUUUAGAAUUUGGUUUAAGGACUUGGAAUGAUUUUUAAACAUCAAAAAGACCCAUUUAAGGGAGUUUACGGCCUAGCAUAGGCUCCUGGCCGUAAACUCCUAAAUACCCAAGAAAAAUUGUGUUUUUGGUUUCCAAACAAAUCACAUGUGAUUGCUAAAAUUAUUCCUAGGCCUUUCAUGCAUUUCUUUGAAAUUUUGGAGGGGUUUUUGGAGUUUACGGCCUAUGAGACCCCCCUCAUGGCCGUAAACUAUCUUAGAGAGUGAUUCCAUGUGUUUUAAAGCCAAAAACUUGUUUGUAAGGACUUCUAAAAUUCAUUCCAAGGCUUUAGGGGUGUUAUAGGGGUUAAACAACACUUUAAAAUGAAUUUUCACCAUGUUUUAAGGAGUUUAUGGCCCAAGCACUUGCCUUGGCCGUAAACUCACAAUAAUCCCUCAAAAAUUAUGUUUCAAGUGUCAAAAUGCUAAAACUAAUAUCCUAAAAUUCAUAUAUAAGUCUUAUAAGUGUUUUGGAAGGGUUUAAGGUCACAAAAACCCCAUAAAUAUGAGUUUACGGCCCAAGCUUGUGCCUUGGCCGUAAACUCCUUCAAAUCCAUCAAAGUCCAAAUGUGUUUAUGAAGGGUUUUAUGGCUUAAAAAACCCACUUAUUAUGAGUUUACGGCCUAAGAUCCUUCCAUGGCCGUAAACUCAUAUACAAGGUCUUAAAUCAUGAUUAAAUCCCUAAUUUGGAAGCCAUAUAUGCUAUACAUUAAGGUUAGGAAGGUACCUUAGGGAUUUGAGGCCUUAAAAUUGAGUUUUGGACCCUUAAACUUGGAUUUUAGGUGAGAGGUUAGAGAGAGAGUAGAGAGAGAAGGAAAAAGCUUCAAAUGAAAGGUUUAACAUGUUUAUAUAGUUCCUAAAACUUGGAUAAGGUGGAAUUCUACCCGAUACCAGCCUUAAACGAGGCUUUAGGUCGCACCCGAUUAAGUUUCCGUCACCCGGCGGGGACGUUUCUAAAAAUUAUGAAAUAAAAAAUUUUGGGCUAGAUAUAUGAGUUCCUAUAAGGUUUGGGCACUCAUUGGAUUAAAAUAAACAUAUAAAUUUAACUAACUAAACCCAAAAACGACAUCGGAACGUUUCGAUAUACGGCGAGUUAUACGGGUAGAAUGGGUUUUUCGGCGAUGGAAAACUUCGGGUUGUUACAUUAUCCCCCCCGUUAGAGGGAAUUUCGUCCUGAAAUUCAAAGAAUAAGAUAUAGAUCAUGAAUUAGAAUAAGACAUGAAUGGAGUUGUUGCCUCGGAUCUUUAUUUUCUCAAGUGGAAUCAGGUCUCUACUGGGCGUUCUAACGAAUUCUCAUUAUCGGGACGUGUCUUUGUUUUGUACUUUGACUCUUUCUCAAUCUACGAUAUCAAUCUAUUUUCUCAUGGAAGUUCCAACCCUGGACGACUUCGGUUUCCUCAAAGGAAUCACUAGGGUUUCGUCGAGUAGGUGCUUCUAAGGAUUCGAGAUGUGAUAGACUGGAUAGAUGUUAUCAAGCUCUAAGGGCAUCCGAAAUCUGAAGAUUGCAGAAUCGAUUUCUACAGAGAUCUCGAAAGGUCUGAUGUGGAACUAAACUAGAAAUUCGAAAGAAAUUCCCGGGAAUCCUUCGGGAAAGACAUUUAGAGAAAAGAGCUGUUAACUUCCCGUUUCUCAAUAAUCACAGAAACGAAGGAUGUGUGGUAAUUCAUAUCGGGAAAACUUUUGAGUUCUAAGGCAUGGAAUGAUACGAAGGUUUGAUGCCGAAAGUCACAAGAACCGGGUCGAGGAAAAGAUCUAGAUGAGCGACCCUUUCGAAACCAAGGAUAACAACAUGAAUGAGACUCGGGCAUUUCAUGUUAAACAUAGCAUCAAAGUAUUUUUGUGAAAAGUUUCCCCCUUUAAAACCGAAUGGAACAGAAUAAUCCUCCGGACUGAGGAUUCAAUCUAUAGGUACGAAGUUAGUGUUCUCUAUCUCACUGGUUAGUCAUCUCGACGGUACACAUUUCGAUUACAUACGAAGGAUUGAGUUUAGAAAAUGUUCGAAUAGAUAGAUAACAGGUUUCCCUUUUUGUACCAAAAUCGAAAAGAGUUGCAGGUAUAAGAAUUACUAAAGAGAAGUAUACCUGCGGCGACAGAGGGAUCAGUGGUCGUAGCUGCCUUGGGGCAAUUCCUUUUGAAGUGCCCAGCUUCACCACAAUUGUAACAGGCCGGACUAAUUCCCGCUCCGGAUGAUUGGUUCGUUGGCUUGGCUGGUUUUCUGCAGGUUCGAGCAAGGUGGCCCUUAUUGCCACAGUUGUCGCAGAUCCUUUCGCGACAUGGACCAGGAAUGCGGUGGUGGUAGUUGCACUUACCACACCAAGGAAGGGUACCAGUGUAUCCACUGGCGGGAGUUUGGGCUGUCGAACCUACAGCUGAAACAGCAACAAGGGCAGUAGCAGCAUGGACUGCUACCGUUUGCUGUUUCUUAGAAGACCCUUGCGUACUCUGGGCCUUCCGCUUGUUCCAGGAUUUCUUUUUGCUUCCGCCUCCACUGGUGACUGGCUCGGGGGUGGUAGCUUCCUCAUCAGAGUUGUCUUCGUGAUCGAUCAAGAUUUUCGCAAGACAUUUAGCACUGUCAUAUGUGUCUGGCUUCGCAGCCAAGACAUUCCCCUUUGUUGGCUGGGUCAACCCCCAGAUGAACCUCUCAAUCUUUUUACUCUCCGGGGUAACCAUUCCCGGACAGAGUAACGCCAGAUCAUCGAAUCUUGAAGUAUAAGCAGCUAUGUCGGAACCCUUCAUCUUAAGGUUCCAAAGUUCGUGUUCUAGCUUCUGGAGUUCGCCCCGAGGGCAAUAUUCUGCGAGAAGAAGCUCCUUCAUAGCUUCCCAACCCAUAGCAUUGGCUACAGGUAAAGUUAAGGAUUUGACUCGGCCAUUCCACCAAGUCAGGGCUUUGUCUAGGAAGGUACAGGCGGCAAACUUGACUCUAUCAGACUCCGAACAGCCACAUAUUUCAAAGAUUGAUUCGAUUCUCUCGAACCAUCGGGUUAAGGCAAUGACACCCCCUGUGCCAUCGAAGAAUGUCGGUUUUGCGUUCAUGAAGUCUUUAUAGGAACCCCCUUUUUGGUGUCCCUGGCUAUCAUCUGGGUUUUGGGUUUCACCUCCCGAACCCCUAGAGUUCAGUUGAGGUAAGAGAGCUGAUAUGGUAGCAGAAAUGGUUGCCUGAAGUGUUUCCAAAUCGAUUUGAAUAGGAGGUGGUGGCGGAGGAGGAUUGUUGUUGUUCGUUGAGCUGGGUCUCUUUCUUGGAGGCAUCUUGAUCUAAAAAGAUCAGGAAAGAGAGGAUCAUAAGUCCUCUGAAUUGAAUCAAGAGAUAUGGGACAGGAGAUAUCUCAUCAAGGCAAAUAUAGCAUCAUACUAAGCGAUAAAGCAGAAAGGAGUUAUCAAGAUAGAACAUUUUAUCGCUAGAGGAAUAAUCAAGGAAUAACGCGUAUACAGGAAUUUCUACAAAGGAUCGGCUCGAGAAAUACUCCCAUAGUAUUUCAUGGUUCGCUGCAGCGACGAUUCGUUGUUUGGGAUAUUAGGUAAGUUUUAGGUAUGCCGCAUGCCACAGUCACUCCCAAGCACAUGUUGGCCGUGUCUCGAAUGAAUAUAGUUGGCCAGGCUAUAUUGACCCUAGACACGACUACAUAACUGCCCAGGUUUAACCGCAGUGUACAACACCCAUUUACUUAUGUUUUGUUCUACUUGUAGUUACGGAUUUCGACGGCUCGGCAUACUUAAAUACUUUUGAAAAUACUUAUAUUUUGUAGGAUACUUUUAGUUCAGAGCACUUAGGCCCCUUAAUGUUUAUAGUUUUAUACCAUGUAAGGUUUGGUAUACUCUGUUCACUAUAAACAAGGGCUCUGAUACCAAUCUGUCACACCCCGAAAACCAAAGGCGGAAACGUUCCCGGGGUUGACUCCACGUUGAGUAUCAAAUCCAAUGUACAUAGUAAUCACAGUAAACAACCAUUACAUUACAUAUAUAUGAAAGUUUACAUUUGGUUCAAAAGUAAAUUGUACAAAAGUUAUACAUAUAUCAUAUGAACAAAAGAGACGAGUCUUCAGAGCACUCCGUCUUCACCAAAAGAUAUCGCCGGGUACCUGUCUAACUUGGACCUGAGAAUACAAGCAGUUUGAAAAUCAGCAUAAAGCUGGUGAGUUCAUAAGCGGUUUUGUUUUGUGAAAAUGUAUCGGUUUCCUUUAGUUUUCUGAAAAGAUUUGAUAUCCAAGAAAAUCCCAUAUUUUCUUAUGUAAAGUAGUUAAGUUAUCUUUCGUUACAGUUCUGUUACAAGUUAUAAGUUAACCCCAGGAAAAUCCCAUAUUUUCCUAAAUGCAAGAUUGAUUGAAUAACACAUAGUAUAGUUUAAUAUACAAAACUAUAAUUUAGACGAACUGUAAAUAGAAAGUAUUUUGAAAACCUUGGGACUAACAUCCCGAACCAGUUAUAAGAUAAUUCGAUAAAGACCAUGGGAUCACUAUCCCGAAAAUAGAUAUAAGAUAACUUGAUAAACCAUGGGAUCACUAUCCCGAAACUAGAUAUAUGAUAGAUUGAUAAAAUCAUGGGAUUAUCAUCCCGUAUAAGAUUUAGUUUCAAAACCAUGGGAUUACCAUCCCGAACGAAAUAUAGACACAAGAUCAUGGGAUUAUCAUCCCGAACGAGAUAUAGACAUAAAACCAUGGGAUUACCAUCCCGAACGAGAUAUAGAUACAAGACCAUGGGAUUAUCAUCCCGAACAAGAUAUAGAUUCUAAACAAAAUCCUAGCUGUGAAUAAGUUUAUAUUAAUACGUAUUGUGAGUCGGGUAACCAUGCUGAUAUGACAACGAGACCUCCUUGACGUUAGUCAGACGUCGAAUGAUAUACAGAAUUUGUCACCCCAGGCGUGCCCGCCUAACUGUAGCUAGCAGUUAAGGUGUGGGAUUGUCAGUCCCGAAUAGAUCUAUUCACAAAUUCCUCGCUCUCCCUCCAGGAGACUCUGGUUACACUUCCGGAGAGGAUUUACUUGAUCAUCCAUAAAGGGUAGUGACUAUCUCACAAGCUAGUAUUAAACUAUUCACAGGAUUCUCAUACGAUACCAGACAUACAAAGAUUUUAAGACAUGAUACAAUGAAAAUAGUUACAUACAGGAAACUAUCUGGCAAUACAUUCAAAUGAUACGGAGAUAAACUGAAUCAGACAUAGUUUAUCUAAUAACUUUAUACAGAUAUCAGUACAUGAUAUAAAGAGAAUUAUAGAACCCCAAAUUAUUCCCAUAAUAAUUUGAUUAGUUUGGUUAUUUUCUUAACUAAAAUCCAUUUAGUUGUAAUUGAUAAAUCAUUCCUUAUGCUCAACAUAAUACAUAAGGAGUAAAAGAGUUUAUAAGUUUGCCAGAUAUUAUUUGAAACACAUAAAUGUUAUGAUUUGAAAACAGUUAUGGUUUGCUUGUAUUCCCCCCUGAAAACAGUUAAAAACAGUGAAAAAGGCGUAGGGGUAUGAACUCACCGGACGAGAAAUGUGACGAUUUGGAUGCUAAGAGUUGAUCCGGGGCUUGUAAAUACACGAGGUUCCUAAUUAUAAUGUAAAGAUACACAUUUGUAUCUAAUUAGGACUUAGUUUAUUUAUAUGAUAGGGACACUUGCUUCAAGUCGCGAAAACACUCCGAUACAAGUGUUUGGAGGGACCCGGGUGGCGUUUAAGGACGUGAAAUGACACUAGGGACUUGGGACUUGAGUUUACUCCCCAUGAGUAAACUAAUAGAAGAGUUUUGGUCUAAAACACCCAUUCCCCAUGAGUUUACGGCCGUAAACUCAUGGUGGGUGUGGUUUAAGGUGCUAAAUGACUUCAUACACUUAGGGAAUAAUUUCUAGACUUGGUUUAAGGACUUGAAAGGAUUUUAAAACAUAAAAUAGACCCACUUAUGGGAGUUUACGGCCUAGCAUGGCUCCAUGGCCGUAAACUCCUAUUUUUCCAAGAAAAUGAUGUUAAAUGGAGCUAGAACAAAUCACAUGUGAUUAAUAGAAUUAUUUCAAGGCCUAUUAUGAGUUUGCAAGGGACAUUUGAGGAGUUUAUGGAGUUUACGGCCCAUGAGACCCCCUCAUGGCCGUAAACUCAUCUAUAGGGUGCUACAAGAUGUUUCAAGGUCUAAAACUUGCAUGGAAGGACUUCUAAAAUUCAUCUAAGGGCCUUAGGGGUGUUUAGUUUGCAUUCUAACACCAAAAAUCAUGGAGUUUACGGCCCAAGAACAAGCCUUGGCCGUAAACUCUUAAAAAUCCCACAAAUAGUGUGUUUAAGGCCCUCAAACUAUUUUUGGUUGGUCCAUUGAUUUAUUCCAAGGCUUUUGGUGGUGUUGGAUGGCUUUCUAACACCUUAGAAUUGAAUUUAUGCCAAGUUUUGAGGAGUUUACGGCCCAAGCACAUGCCUUGGCCGUAAACUCACAUAAGUCCCCCAAAAAUCAUGUUUCAAGUGUCCAAAUGCUAAAACCAAGGUUCUAUAAUUCAUAUCUAAGCCAUACUAGUGAUUUGGAAGGGUUUAAGGGCAUGAAAAACCCCAUUUACAUGAGUUUACGGCCCAAGCUUAUGCCUUGGCCGUAAACUCCUUCAAAUGACUCAAAAUCAAAGUUUUAAAUGUUCUAAGUCCAUAUCUUGAAGUCCCUUAGCCAUAUCUAAAGUCCAAAUGAGUUUAGGAAGGAGUUUAAGGGCUUAAAACCCUUCAAAUUGGUGUUUACGGCCUAGGCAGCCUCCUGGGCCGUAAACUCACAUAUGAUGUCCCAUUUCAUGAUUAAAUGUCAAAUUUGGAAGCCAAAUAUGCUAUAGAUUAAGGCUAGGAAGGUACCUUAAGGAUUUGAGGCCUUAAAAUUGAGUUUUGGACCCUUAAUCUUUGGAUUUAGGAGAGAGGUUAGAGAGAGAGUAGAGAGAGAAGGAAAAAGCUUCAAAUGAUAGGUUAAACACGUUUAUAUAGUUCCUAAAACUUGGACACGGUGGAAUUCUACCCGAUACCGGCCUUAAACGAAGCUUUAGGUCGCACCCGAUUGAGUUUCCGUCACCCGACGAGGAUAUUUCUAAAACUUAUGAAAUAAAUGUUUUGGGCUAAAUUCAUGAGUUCCUAAAUGAUUUGGACCCUCAUUGAAUGAUAAUAAACAUAUAAUUUUAGUUAACUAAACCCAAAAACGAUAUCGGGACAUUUCGAUCUCCGACGAGUUAUACGGGUAGAAUGGGUUUUCGGCGAUGAACAACUUCGGGUUGUUACAUUAUCCCCCCGUUAGAGGGAAUUUCGUCCCGAAAUUCAAAGAAUAAGAUACAGAUCAUGGAUUGGAAUGAGACACGAAUGGAUUUGUUGCUUUGGAUCUUCACUUUCUCAAGUGGAAUUUGGUCUCUACUGGGCGUUUUAACGAAUUCUCAUUAUCGGGACAUGCCUUGAUUUCGCUUCUUGACUCUCUCUCAAUCUACGAUAUCAAUCUGAUUUCUCGUGGAAGUUCCAACCCUGAACGACUUCGGUUUCCUCAAAGGAAUCACUAGGGUUUCGUUGGGCAGACGUUUCUAAGGAUUCGAGACGUGAUGGUCUAGAUAGAUAUUACCAAGCUCUAAGGGCAUCCGAAACCUGAAGGUUGCAGAAUCGAUCUCUACGAAGAUCUCGAAAGGUCUGAUGUGAGACUAAACUAGACGCUCGAAAGAAACUCCCGGGAAUCCUUCGGGGCAGACAUUUAGAGGGAAUAGUUGCUAACUUCCCGUUUCUCAAUAAUCACAGAAACGAGGGAUGCGUGAUAAUUCACAUUGGGAAAACUUUUGAGUUCUAAGGCAUAGAAUGAUACGAAAGUUUGAUGCCGAAGAUCACGAGAACAGGGUCGAGGAAAAAUCUAGACGAGCGACCCUUUCGAAAGUAAAGAUAACAACAUGAAUGAGACUCGGUCAUUUCUUGUUAAACAUAGCAUCAAAGUAUUUUCAUAGAAAGUUUCCCCCUUUUUAAAUCGAAUGGAACAGAAUAGUCCUCCGGACUGAGGAUUCAAUCUAUAGGUACGAAGUUAGUGUUCUCUAUCUCACUAGUUAGUCGUCUCGACGGUACACAUUUCGAUUACAUACGAAGGAUUGAGUUUAGAAAAUGUUCGAAUAGAUAGAUAACAGGUUUCCCUUUUUGCACCCAAAAUCGAAAAGAGUUGCAAGUAUAAGAAUUAUCAAAGAGAGAUAUACCUGCGGCAGCAGAGGGAUUUGUGGUUGUAGCUGUCUUGGGACAAUUCCUUUUGAAGUGCCCAGCUUCACCACAAUUGUAGCAGGCCGGACUGAUUCCCGUUCCGGAUGAUUGGUUCGUUGGCUUGGCUGGUUUUCUGCAGGUUCGCGCAAGAUGGCCCUUAUUGCCACAAUUGUCGCAGAUCCUUUCGCGACAUGGACCAGGAAUGCGGUGGUGGUAGUUACACUUACUACACCAAGGAAGGGUACCAGUGUAUCCACUGGAGGGAGUUUGGGAUGUGGAACUGACAGCUGAAACAGCAACAGGGGCAGUAGCAGCAUGGACUGCUACCGUUUGCUGUUUCUUAGAAGACCCUUGCGUACUCUGGGCCUUCCGCUUGUUCCAGGAUUUCUUUUUGCUUCCGCCUCCACUGGUGACUGGCUCGGGGGUAGUAGCUUCUUCAUCAGAGUUGUCUUCGUGAUCUAUCAGGAUUUUCGCAAGGCACUUAGCACUGUCAUAUGUGUCUGGCUUCGCAGCCAAGACAUUCCCCUUUGUUGGCUGGGUCAACCCCCAGAUGAACCUCUCUAUCUUUUUACUCUCCGGGGUAACCAUUCCCGGACAAAGUAACGCCAGAUCAUCGAAUCUUGAGGUAUAAGCAGCUAUGUCGGAACCCUUCAUCUUAAGGUUCCAAAGUUCGUGUUCUAGUUUCUGAAGUUCGCCCCGAGGGCAAUACUCUGCGAGAAGAAGCUCCUUCAUAGCUUCCCAACCCAUAGCAUUGGCUACAGGUAAAGUUAAGGAUUUGACUCGGCCAUUCCACCAAGUCAGGGCUUUGUCUAGGAAGGUACAGGCAGCAAACUUGACUCUAUCAGACUCCGAACAGCCACAUAUUUCAAAGAUUGAUUCGAUUCUCUCGAACCAUCGGGUUAAGGCAAUGACACCCCCUGUGCCAUCGAAGAAUGUCGGUUUUGCGUUCAUGAAGUCUUUAUAGGAACCCCCUUUUUGGUGUCCCUGGCUAUCAUCUGGGUUUUGGGUUUCACCUCCCGAACCCCUAGAGUUCAGUUGAGGUAAGAGAGCUGAUAUGGUAGCGGAAAUGGUUGCCUGAAGUGUUUCCAAAUCGAUCUGAAUAGGAGGUGGUGGCGGAGGAGGAUUGCUGUUGUUCGUUGAGCUGGGUCUCUUUCUUGGAGGCAUCUUGAUCUAAAAAGAUCAGGAAAGAGAGGAUCAUAAGUCCUCUGAAUUGAAUCAAGAGAUAUGGGACAGGAGAUAUCUCAUCAAGGCAAAUAUAGCAUCAUACUAAGCGAUAAAGCAGAAAGGAGUUAUCAAGAUAGAACAUUUUAUCGCUAGAGGAAUAAUCAAGGAAUAACGCGUAUACGAGAAUUUCUACAAAGGAUCGGCUCGAGAAAUACUCCCAUAGUAUUUCAUGGUUCGCUGCAGCGACGAUUUGUUGUUUGGGAUAUUGGGUAAGUUUUAGGUAUGCCGCAUGCCACAGUCACUCCCAAGCACAUGUUGGCCGUGUCUCGAAUGAAUAUAGUUGGCCAGGCUAUAUUGACCCUAGACACGACUACAUAACUGCCCAGGUUUAACCGCAGUGUACAACACCCAUUUACUUAUGUUUUGUUCUACUUGUAGUUACGGAUUUCGACGGCUCGGCAUACUUAAAUACUUUUGAAAAUACUUAUAUUUUGUAGGAUACUUUUAGUUCAGAGCACUUAGGCCCCUUAAUGUUUAUAGUUUUAUACCAUGUAAGGUUUGGUAUACUCUGUUCACUAUAAACAAGGGCUCUGAUACCAAUCUGUCACACCCCGAAAACCAAAGGCGGAAACGUUCCCGGGGUUGACUCCAUGUUGUGUAUCAAAUCCAAUGUACAUAGUAAUCACAGUAAACAACCAUUACAUUACAUAUAUAUGAAAGUUUACAUUUGGUUCAAAAGUAAAUUGUACAAAAGUUAUACAUAUAUCAUAUGAACAAAAGAGACGAGUCUUCAGAGCACUCCGUCUUCACCAAAAGAUAUCGCCGGGUACCUGUCUAACUUGGACCUGAGAAUACAAGCAGUUUGAAAAUCAGCAUAAAGCUGGUGAGUUCAUAAGCGGUUUUGUUUUGUGAAAAUGUAUCGAUUUCCUUUAGUUUUCUGAAAAGAUUUGAUAUCCAAGAAAAUCCCAUAUUUUCUUAUGUAAAGUAGUUAAGUUAUCUUUCGUUACAGUUCUGUUACAGAUAUAAGUUAACCCCAGGAAAAUCCCAUAUUUUCCUAAUUGUAAGAUUGAUUGGAUAACACAUAGUAUAGUUUAAUUCACAAAACUAUAAUUUAGACGAACUGUAAAUAGAAAGUAUUUUGAAAACCUUGGGACUACAUCCCGAACCAGUUAUAAGAUAAUUCGAUAAAAACCAUGGGAUCACUAUCCCGAAAGUAGAUAUAAGAUAGCUUGAUAAACCAUGGGAUCACUAUCCCGAAACUAGAUAUAUGAUAGAUUGAUAAAAUCAUGGGAUUAUCAUCCCGUAUAAGAUUUAGUUUCAAAACCAUGGGAUUGCCAUCCCGAACGAAAUAUAGACACAAGAUCAUGGGAUUAUCAUCCCGAACGAGAUAUAGACAUAAAACCAUGGGAUUACCAUCCCGAACGAGAUAUAGAUACAAGACCAUGGGAUUAUCAUCCCGAACAAGAUAUAGAUUCUAAACAAAAUCCUAGCUGUGAAUAAGUUUAUAUUAAUACGUAUUGUGAGUCGGGUAACCAUGCUGAUAUGACAACGAGACCUCCUUGACGUUAGUCAGACGUCGAAUGAUAUCCAGAAUUUGUCACCCCAGGCGUGCCCGCCUAACUGUAGCUAGCAGUUAAGGUGUGGGAUUGUCAGUCCCGAAUAGAUCUAUUCACAAACUCUUCGCUCUCCCUCCAGGAGACUCUGGUUACACUUCCGGAGAGGAUUUACUUGAUCAUCCAUAAAGGGUAGUGACUAUCUCACAAGCUAGUAUUAAACUAUUCACAGGAUUCUCAUACGAUAACAAACAUACAAAGAUUUUAAGACAUGAUACAGUGAAAAUAGUUACAUACAAGAAACUAUCUGGCAAUACAUUCAAAUGAUACGGAGAUAAACUGAAUCAGACAUAGUUUAUCUAAUAACUUAAUACAGAUAUCAGUACAUGAUAUAAAGAGAAACAUAGAACCCCAAAUUAUUCCCAUAAUAAUUUGAUUAGUUUGGUUAUUUUCUUAACUAAAAUCCAUUUAGUUGUAAUUGAUAAAUCAUUCCUUAUGCUCAACAUAAUACAUAAGGAGUAAAAGAGUUUAUAAGAUUGCCAGAUAUUAUUUGAAACACAUAAAUGUUAUGAUUUGAAAACAGUUUUGGUUUGCUUGUAUUCCCCCCCUGAAAACAGUUAAAAACAGUGAAAAAGGCGUAGGGGUAUGAACUCACCGGACGAGAAGUAUGACGAUUUGGAUGCUAAGAGUUGAUCCGGGGCUUGUAAAUACACGAGGUUCCUAAUUAUAAUGUAAAGAUACACAUUUGUAUCUAAUUAGGACUUAGAUUGAUUGUUGGAUAGGGACAAUUGCUUCUAGUCGCGAAAACACUCCGAUACGAGUGUUUGGAGGGACCCGGGUGGCGUUUAAGGAUGUGAAAUGACACUAGGGACUUGGGACUUGAGUUUACUCCCCAUGAGUAAACUUAUAAAUGAGUUUACAACCACAAAACACACACAUACAUGAGUUUACGGCCGUAAACUCAUGUGGGUGUGGUUUUGGGUGUUUAAAUGGCUUAAAUGGCUUACAUGGACAUGGGAAAUGAUUCUAGGCUUUGAUCUAAAUGCAUGGAAUGGAUUAAAAUCACCAAAAUGAUUAAUUUAUGGGAGUUUACGGCCUAGCAUAGGCUCCUGGCCGUAAACUCCUUAAUCCUUAUGAAAAUGAUGCUAAAUGUUGUUAAAACCAAUCACAUGUGAUUCUAAAAAUUCCCACAAGCCUAGAAAUGAGUUUACAAGUGACAUAUGAGGGAUUUAUGGAGUUUACGGCCUAUGAGACCCCCUUCAUGGCCGUAAACUCUAAUAUAUGGAGCUACAAUGUGUUUCAAGGUCUAAAACUUGCAUGAAUGGACUUCUAAAAUUCAUCUAAAGGCUGUAGGGGUGUUUAGUUUGCAUUCUAACACCAAAAAUUUUGGAGUUUACGGCCCAAGAACAGGUCUUGGCCGUAAACUCUUAGAAAUCCCAUAAAAGAUGUGUUUUAGGCCCUUAAAGUAUUUUUGGUUGGUCCCUUGAUUUAUUCCAAGGCUUUUGGUGGUGUUGGAUGGCUUUCUAACACCUUAGAAUUGGAUUUAUGCCAAGUUUUGGGGAGUUUACGGCCCAAGCACUAUCCUUGGCCGUAAACUCAUCUAAGUCCCCCAAAAAUCAUGUUUCAAGUGUCCAAAUGCUAAUACCAAGGUCCUAUAAUUCAUAUCUAAGCCAUAGAGGUGAUUUGGAAGGGUUUAAGGGCAUGAAAAACCCCAUUAACAUGAGUUUACGGCCCAAGCUUAUGCCUUGGCCGUAAACUCCUUCAAAGUCCUCAAAAUCAAAGUUUUAAGUGUUCUAAGUCCAUAUCUUGAAGUCCCUUAGCCAUAUCUAAAGUCCAAUUGAGUCUAGGAAGGAGUUUAAGGGCUAAAAACCCUUCAAAAUGGUGUUUACGGCCUAGGCAGCCUCCUGGGCCGUAAACUCACAUAUAUUGUCCAAUUUCAUGAUUAAGUGUCUAAUUUGGAAGCUAAACAUGCUAUAGAUUAAGGCUAGGAAGGUACCUUAAGGAUUUGAAGCCUUAAAUUUGAGUUUUGGACACUUAAUCUUUGGAUUUAGGAGAGAGGUUAGAGAGAGAGUAGAGAGAGAAGGAAAAAGCUUCAAAUGAGUGCUUAAACAUGUUUAUAUAGUCCCUAAAACUUGGACACGGUGGAAUUCUACCCGAUACCGGCCUUAAACGAUGCUUUGGGUCGCACCCGAUUGAGUUUCCGUCACCCGACGAGGAUAUUUCUAAAACUUAUGAAAUAAAUGUUUUGGGCUAAAUUCAUGAGUUCCUAAAUGAUUUGGACCCUCAUUGAAUGAAAAUAAACAUAUAAUUUUAGUUAACUAAGCCCAAAAACGAUAACAGGACAUUUCGAUUUCCGACGAGUUAUUCGGGUAGAACGGGUUUUCGGCGAUGAACAACUUCGGGUUGUUACAUUAUCCCCCCGUUAGAGGGAAUUUCGUCCCGAAAUUCAAAGAAUAAGAUACAGGUCAUGGAUUGGAAUGAGAUACGAAUGGAUUUGUUGCCUCGGAUCUUCACUUCCUCAAGUGGAAUCAGGUCUCUAUUGGGCGUUCUAACGAAUUCUCAUUAUCGGAACAUGUCUUGGUUUUGCUUCUUGACUCUCUCUCAAUCUACGAUAUCAAUCUGCUUUCUCGUGGAAGUUCCAACCCUGAAUGACUUCGGUUUCCUCAAAGGAAUCACUAGGGUUUCGUUGGGCAGACGCUUCUAAGGAUUCGAGACGUGAUGGUCUAGAUAGAUAUUACCAAGCUCUAAGGGCAUCCGAAACUUGAAGGUUACAGAAUCGAUCUCUACGAAGAUCUCGAAAGGUUUGAUGUGAGACUAAACUAGAUGCUCGAAAGAAACUCCCGGGAAUCCUUCGGGAUAGACAUUUAGAGGGAAUAGUUGCUAACUUCCCGUUUCUCAAUAAUCACAGAAACGAGGGAUGCGUGAUAAUUUACAUUGGGAAAACUUUUGAGUUCUAAAGCAUAAAAUGAUACGGAAGUUUGAUGCCGAAGAUCACGAGAACCGGGUCGAGAAAGAAAUCUAGACGAGCGACCCUUUCGAAAGUAAGGAUAACAAUAUGAAUGAGACUCGGUCAUUUCUGGUUAAACAUGGCAUCAAAGUAUUUUCAUGGAAAGUUUCCCCCUUUAUAAAUCGAAUGGAAUAGAAUAGUCCUCCGGACCGAGGAUUCAAUCUAUAGGUACGAAGUUAGUGUUCUCUAUCUCACUAGUUAGUCGUCUCGACGGUAUACAUUUCGAUUACAUGCGAAGGAUUGAGUUUAGAAUACGUUCGAAUAGAUAGAUAACAGGUUUCCCUUUUGCACCCAAAAUCGAAAAGAGUUGCAAGUAUAAGAAUUAUCAAAGAGAGAUAUACCUGCGGCAGCAGAGGGAUUUGUGGUUGUAGCUGUCUUGGGACAAUUCCUUUUGAAGUGCCCAGCUUCACCACAAUUGUAGCAGGCCGGACUGAUUCCCACUCCAGAUGAUUGGUUUGUUGGCUUGGCUGGUUUUCUACAGGUUCGCGCAAGAUGGCCCUUAUUGCCACAGUUGUCGCAGAUCCUUUCGCGACAUGGUCCAGGAAUGCGGUGGUGGUAGUUGCACUUACCACACCAAGGAAGGGUACCAGUAUAUCCACUGGCGGGAGUUUGGGCUGUGGAACCUACAGCUGAAACAGCAACAGGGGCAGUAGCAGCAUGGACUGCUACCGUUUGCUGUUUCUUAGAAGACCCUUGCGUACUCUGGGCCUUCCGCUUGUUCCAGGAUUUCUUUUUACUUCCGCCUCCACUAGUGACUGGCUCGGGGGUAGUAGCUUCUUCAUCAGAGUUGUCUUCGUGAUCUAUCAGGAUUUUCGCAAGGCACUUGGCACUGUCAUAUGUGUCUGGCUUCGCAGCCAAGACAUUCCCCUUUGUUGGCUGGGUCAACCCCCAGAUGAACCUCUCUAUCUUUUUACUUUCCGGGGUAACCAUUCCCGGACAAAGUAACGCCAGAUCGUCGAAUCUUGAGGUAUAAGCAGCUAUGUCAGAACCCUUCAUCUUAAGGUUCCAUAGUUCAUGUUCUAGCUUCUGAAGUUCGCCCCGAGGGCAAUACUCUGCGAGAAGAAGCUCCUUCAUAGCUUCCCAACCCAUAGCAUUGGCUACAGGUAAAGUUAAGGAUUUGACUCGGCCAUUCCACCAAGUCAGGGCUUUGUCUAGGAAAGUACAGGCAGCAAACUUGACUCUAUCAGACUCCGAACAGCCACAUAUUUCAAAGAUUGAUUCGAUUCUCUCGAACCAUCGGGUUAAAGCAAUGACACCCCCUGUGCCAUCGAAGAAUGUCGGUUUUGCGUUCAUGAAGUCUUUAUAGGAACCCCCUUUUUGGUGUCCCUGGCUAUCUUCUGGGUUUUGGGGUUGGGGAUCACCUCCUGAAUUUCUAGAGUUCAUUUGCGACAUGGCUGCUACCAUUGCAGCAGUCAGAACUGUCUGAAGCGAUGCAAGAUCAAGUUGAAAAGGAGGAUUGUUGUUGUUCGUUGAGCUGGGUCUCUUUCUUGGAGGCAUCGUGAUCUAACAAGAUCAGGAAAGAGAGGAUCAUAAGUCCUCUGAAUUGAAUCAAGAGAUAUGGGACAGGAGAUAUCUCAUCAAGGCAAAUAUAGCAUCAUACUAAGCGAUAAAGCAGAAAGGAGUUAUCAAGAUAGAACAUUUUAUCGCUAGAGGAAUGAUCAAGGAAUAACGCGUAUACGAGAAUUUCUACAAAGGAUCGGCUCGAGAAAUACUCCCAUAGUAUUUCAUGGUUCGCUGCAGCGACGAUUUGUUGUUUGGGAUAUUGGGUAAGUUUUAGGUAUGCCGCAUGCCACAGUCACUCCCAAGCACAUGUUGGCCGUGUCUCGAAUGAAUAUAGUUGGCCAGGCUAUAUUGACCCUAGACACGACUACAUAACUGCCCAGGUUUAACCGCAGCGUACAACACCCAUUUACUUAUGUUUUGUUCUACUUGUAGUUACGGAUUUCGACGGCUCGUCAUACUUAAAUACUUUUGAAAGUAUAUUAUAUUCUGUAGGAUACUUAUAGUUCAGAGCACUUAGGCCCCUUAAUGUUUAUAGUUUUAUACCAUGUAAUGUUUGGUAUACUCUGUUCACUAUAAACAAGGGCUCUGAUACCAAUCUGUCACACCCCGAAAACCAAAGGCGGAAACGUUUCCGGGGUUGACUCCACGUUGAGUAUCAAAUCCAAUGUACAUAGUAAUCACAGUAAACAACCAUUACAUUACAUAUAUAUGAAAGUUUACAUUUGGUUCAAAAGUAAAUUGUACAAAAGUUAUACAUAUAUCAUAUGAACAAAACGAGACGAGUCUUCUGAGCACUCCGUCUUCACCAAAAGAUAUCGUCGGGUACCUGUCUAACUUGGACCUGAGAAUACAAGCAGUUUGAAAAUCAGCAUAAAGCUGGUGAGUUCAUAAGCGGUUUUGUUUUAUGAAAAUGUAUCGGUUUCCUUUAGUUUUUCCGAAAAAGUUUGUUAUCCAAGAAAAUCCCAUAUUUUCUUAUAUUGAGUAGUUUAGUUAUCUUUCAUUACAGUUCAGUUACGCGUUACAAGUUAUUCCCAGGAAAAUCCCAUAUUUUCCUAAAUGCAAGAUUGAUUGAAUAACACAGAGUAUAGUUUAAUACACAAACUAUAUAUUGAAAAUCAUAGGAUUACUAUCCCGAGUUAGUUAAGAAUACCAUAAUAUACACGAACUGUAGAUAGAAAAUAGAUUGAAAACCAUGGGACUAACAUCCUGAACUAGUUACAAGAUAGUUUGAUAUACUAGGAAAUACAGAUUGAAAACCAUGGGACUACUAUCCCGAAUCAGAUAUGAGAUUAUUUGAUAAAACCAUGGGAUCACUAUCCCGAAUUUGAUAUAAGAUAGUUAGAUAAAAUCAUGGGAUUACCAUCCCGUACAAGAUAUAGAUUCAAAACCAUGGGAUUACCAUCCCGUACAAGAUAUAGAUUCAAAACCAUGGGAGUACCAUCCCGUACAAGAUAUAGAUUUAAAACCAUGGGAUUACCAUCCCGAACGAGAUAUAGAUACCAGACCAGGGGAUUAUCGUCCCGAAUAAGAUAUAGAUUCUAAACAAAAUCCCAGCUGUGAAUAAGUAUAUAAUAAUACGUAUUGUGAGUCGGGUAACCAUACUGAUACGACAACGAGACCUCCUUGACGUUAGUCAGACGUCGGAUGAUAUACAUAAUUUGUCACCCCAGGCGUGCCCGCCUAACUGUAGCUAGCAGUUAAGGUGUGGGAUUGUCAGUCCCGAAUAGAUCUAUUCAGAAAUUCCUCGCUCUCCCUCCAGGAGACUCUGGUUACACUUCCGGGGAGGAUUUACUGAUCAUCCAUAAAGGGUAGUGACUACUCACAAACUAGUACUAAACUAUUCACAGGAUUCUCAUACGAUAUCAAACAUACAAAUAUUAUGAAACAUGAUACAGUGAAAAUAGAUACAUACUAUGAAACUAUCUGGCAAUACAUUCAAAUGAUACGGAGAUAAACUGAAUCAGACAUAGUUUAUCUAAUAACUUUAUACAGAUAUCAGUACAUGAUAUAAAGAGAAAUAUAGAACCCCAAAUUAUUCCCAUAAUAAUUUGAUUAGUUUGGUUAUUUUCUUAACUAAAAUCCAUUUAGUUGUAAUUGAUAAAUCAUUCCUUAUGCUCAGCAUAAUACAUAAGGAGUAAAGGAGUUUAUAAGUUUGCCAGAUAUUAUUUGGAACACGUCAAUGUUAUAAUUCGAAAACAGUUAUAGUUUGCUUGUAUUCCCCCCCUGAAAACACUGAAAAAAACACGGAAAAAGGCGUAGGGGUAUGAACUCACCGGACGAGAAAUGUGACGAUUUGGAUGCUAAGUGUUGGUCCGGGGCUUGCAAACACACGAGGUUCCUAAGUAUAAUAUAAAGAUACGGAUUUGUAUCUAAUUAGGACUUAGAUUGAUUAUUUGAUAGGGACAAUUGCUUGUAGUCGCGAAAACACCCCGAUACAAGUGUUUGGAGGGACCCGGGUGACAUUUAGGGACACAUAUGGUUAGGAUAUUGAAUUGGGACUUCAAACGAAUACUCCUUAGGGAGUUUACGGCCAUAAUGACCCUCUCCCCAUAAACUCAUGGUGGGGUGAGUUAUGGCACAAAAUGGCUUCAAACACUAAGGGAAUAAUUUCUAGGUUUGGUUUAGGGGCUUGGAAUAAUUUUUAAACACCAAAUAGACCUAUUUAAGGGAUUUUACGGCCUAGCAUAGGACUCAUGGCCGUAAACUCUCAAAUCUCCAUGAAUAAGUGUGUUAUUGGUUCCAAACAAAUCACAUGUGAUUGCUAAAAUUAUUGCUUGGCCUUUCAUGCAUUUCUUUGAAAUUUUGGAGGGGUUUUUGGAGUUUACAGCCUAUGAGACCCCCCUCAUGGCCAUAAACUCUCUUAGAGAGUGAUUCCAUGUCUUUUAAAGCCAAAAACUUGUUUGUAAGGACUUCUAAAAUUCAUUCCAAGGCUUUAGGGGUGUUAUAGGGGUUAAACAACACUUUAAAAUGAAUUUUCAUCAUGUUUUAAGGAGUUUACGGCCCAAGCACUUGCGUUGGCCGUAAACUCACAAUAAU